UAGGGAAUCUUCGGCAAUGGGGGGAACCCUGACCGAGCAACGCCGCGUGAGUGAAGAAGGAUUUCGGUUCGUAAAACUCUGUUGUUAGAGAAGAACAGCGCAUAGAGUAACUGUUAGGCGUGUGACGGUAUCUAACCAGAAAGCCACGGCUAACUACGUGCCAGCAGCCGCGGUAAUACGUAGGUGGCAAGCGUUGUCCGGAUUUAUUGGGCGUAAAGCGAGCGCAGGCGGUCAAUUAAGUCUGAUGUGAAAGCCCCCGGCUCAACCGGGGAGGGUCAUUGGAAACUGGUUGACUUGAGUGCAGAAGAGGAGAGUGGAAUUCCAUGUGUGACGGUGAAAUGCGUAGAUAUAUGGAGGAACACCAGUGGCGAAGGCGACUCUCUGGUCUGUAACUGACGCUGAGGUUCGAAGGCGUGGGUAGCAAACAGG
rnacentral:rRNA from 1 species